UACGGAGGAUGCAAGCGUUAUCCGGAAUGAUUGGGCGUAAAGCGUCCGCAGGUGGCUGUGUAAGUCUGCUGUCAAAGAGCAAAGCUCAACUUUGUAAAGGCAGUGGAAACUACACGGCUAGAGUGCGUUCGGGGCAGAGGGAAUUCCAGGUGUAGCGGUGAAAUGCGUAGAUAUCUGGAGGAACACCGGUGGCGAAGGCGGCAUCCUGGACCGGCAUUGACGCUAAAGCGCGAAAGCCAGGGGAGCAAACGGG
rnacentral:rRNA from 1 species